AGUAGGAUGUCAUUCGGAUGUUAUAUUUGAAAAAGUGAAGUUCCUUCAGCAGAGGUUCCCUUCAAUAGAGGUUAUUGGUUUCCAGGACCGCAGUACAGUUUGCUCUACUGAUGAUCGAAGUCAACUUAUUCAAUUGAUAAUGGAAGAAUACAUUACUUUUCCUGUUUUGUUGACAAACAAAAACUUUUCUAAGUUGACGGACAAGGCUUGAUUUAUUUUGUCUAUAGAUUUUAAGAAUC